GUGCCAGCAGCCGCGGUAAUACGAAGGGAGCGAGCGUUGUUCGGAAUCACUGGGCUUAAAGCGUGCGUAGGCGGAUAUGUAAGUAAGAAGUGAAAUCCCUGGGCUUAACCCAGGAACUGCUUUUUAGACUGCAUGUCUUGAAUUCGGUAGAGGUUAGUGGAAUAUCCAGUGUAGAGGUGAAAUUCGCAGAUAUUGGAUGGAACACCAGUGGCGAAGGCGACUAACUGGACCGACAUUGACGCUGAGGCACGAAAGCGUGGGUAGCAAACAGGAUUAGAUACCCUGGUAGUCC
rnacentral:rRNA from 1 species